rnacentral:lncRNA from 1 species
UCAUGCAUGUAAAUUAAGUAUGCAUCCUUAAUCGACAUACAAAAAUAAGUUAUCAAUCAAACAGUUAAGCAAAUUAAAUCACAACUCAGAAAUCACAACUGAAGGUAAUCAAUUCAUAUUACAAAUAUAUUCAUGGCUUUGAAUUAACCUCUAGCCAAAAUAAAUUUAAUUACACAUUAUUAAAAACAGAAAUAAAAGAGAAGUUUGGAAAAAUUAAACCGAAAGAGGAUCUGCUGCGUUCGUGCCCAUGCUUGCCCUCUCCCUCGCUGACUUGCUUUCUGUUUAUCACCUGGACUGCACUGCCUCACUUCUCUCACUACCGCUGCCCAAUGGCAGCCCUCGUGUUCUCUGUCCGUGCUCACAGCUGCCAAAUGGCAGCUGUUCCUUUUCAGCCUUAUUUCCUCGCCUCUCACUCCCGCGUCUUUUUUCUGCGCCUCCUGCGCUCUCUGCGAGCUUCUCUCCUCUCCUGCGUCUCUGCGAGCUGCCCAAAGGGCAGCCCCUUUCUCCCGCUCCCAGACCCCCCUGUUUCUCUACUCACGCUUCUCUGUCUCGCUGCCCAAAGGCAGAUUGUUUAUUCCUUCCCUCCUCCUUUGCACCCAUCUACUUCUCCUUCUUUUAUUCUUUUCUGACCUCUUGUUCUCUGCUUUUGACUCCUUGGAUUCCUUCUCCGCGUCGUCCAGCUGCAAAGCAGCUCUCCCUCUUGGAUCCCUUUCACGUUUUCUGCUUUUUCUCUAUUGCUCACGCUGUCUCUCCACUUCUUCUAUUUAAUUUUCUCAGUGCUUUCCACUUUCUUCUCCUACAAACACAAUAAAUUAAAAGUAUCAUAAAUACUUAAAGCUUUAACUAAAUUAGACAAGACAAGAAAAGAAAUAUAAAAGGAUGAAAUAUAUAGUUUUAAAUAUUGGUUUAUCAUUUAGCGUCACAAUGGGUUGGCAAUAUUGUAAUUUAAAUUUGCUUUUGACGAAUUUUAUUACAUAAAAUUUCACUUGUUCUAUUUUUAUUUUCUUUGCAUAACAAAUCCUAUAAACACAAAAAAUAACGUAAAUAGCUAAAAAAUAUAAGGAAAACUAAGAAGAAAGACGAGAGGUGAAUUUGAAGUAAAAAUAUUAUAAUAUGAUGAUCCGAUCAAAUACCCCCAUACUUAGCUUUUGCUAGUCCUCGAGCAAAACAAAGAAAACAUGAAAAAGUACUAACAUGAAAAACAUUAGUUUCCCCUAUGUGACCCUCAUAGAAUUUCAUUCGAGAAAACAAAUCAUCAAGAACCAUAGCUAGCACCAACAAACUAAUCCAAGUUCAUCUUCCUUAUUCAAAUAUUAGCAGUAAUCUUUGAAUCAUCCUUGAAGUGUAGUGUGUGAGAUAGCCAUGCUAAUGCAAUUUCAAGUUUUUAUUUUUAAAAUCAUCAUGUGCAAACUAGCGACCUUCUCACGGGAUAUGCACUCAAUCACACAUGUGUUUAGUUUUAAUGUGUUUCGCUCAAAGAAUCAAAUGUGAAAUUUCUACCAUAAGCUUGCAUAAAGAUCACUUCUCCACAGUCAUAAUUGCAAAACUUAAAUCAAGAGGACUUUUAUUGGAUGUAAUGAGGUUUAGGGAUAGGGUUAUUGAAACAAAAGAAUAGGAAACACAAAUUCCAAGCUACAUUGCAAGCAAUUCUUUUCUUUAGAUUUAUAAGAACUCAAGCUCUCCAACAAUUCUUCUAGCACCUCCAACCAUACCCUUAAACUGAAACUUGAACAACUUUUUAUUUUCUUUGUGUACAAUUUUUCUUUUUCUUUUUCUUUUCUUCUCUUUUUUCCUUUUUUUUUUAUUUUUUUUAUUUUUUAUAUACAAACAUGAAAUACCCCCACACUUAUUCUUUUGCCAAACACCUUCAAAGUACUUCACAAACGUUUCUCAUAAGACAAUCUCGCAUUGCUCGCUUGGAAAGGGUAAUGAAAAAUGUUUCAGGUAUAAGGGUAGACAUAUCUGGUGAUAAGAAAUAAAAGGUUCAACAUACACGACUCAAAUUGGCAAACUAAUGAUAUCAUUUUUCUUUGGGAAACAUGAUUAUUUGGGCCAUAGUGGUAAACCUAAUGCCUCUAUCAUUUCCAAGUUCAUGCAAUCAAUGACAAACAUUUCGAAAGAUCGUUACGCAAGUUCUAGAGAUGUAUCUCACAUAAGUUCAUCACACAUGAAAGAAUAGGAGUGUAUGAAAAAUGCACACACUUUCAAUCGGCUCAAAAACUCACAUAGGAUGGUCACUAAAUUCACAUAUGAAGCUUUAAGUUAUGCUUUAGUUUCACAUCAACAAGGCUAUGUGCAUUUGGUUUUUCAAAGAUGAUCAAACAUGUACAAAACUAACAAAAGAAUUAGGAAUUUCACAAAACACAUGUUAACUAAGUUCUUGAUAAUCAUGAUUCAAAUUUGAUCUAAUUAUAUCAUUGGGUCGGGAAACUAACAAAAAAUCUAAUUCAAAACAAUAAGGGAAACAAGACAAUAUUUUUGGAUUUUUAAAUUUUCCGAUUUUUUUUUUUUUUUUUUUUUUUUUUUAAAGAAAACAAAAAGCAACAACACAGAAACAAAUGAAAUUCUGGAGAUUUCUACCCCCACACUUAAACUUGACAUUGUCCCCAAUGUCAGAAAACACUAUAACGCAAAAUAAAAAUAAAAUAAAAUAAAUAAAUAAUAAGAAACAAAAUAAAGCAAUUGGACUGAAAACUUCCCUAGUUUGCAGUAAAAUCAAGCGAUGACCCCCAAGCUAAAAUUCUGCAAUCAACUUCAAGGGUGGAAAUAACCAAAAGUUCCUGCAAAGAAAAGAAAUAAUUCAGUUAAGUAACGCAAGAAAAUAAAAUAAUAAUAAAAAAAUAAAUAAAAAAUUGCAAACGAAAAAUUGAAAAUCACGAUAAAAGACAAUGAAUAGAACUAAUAAGUAAUCAUUGGUCGUGCUUGUUGACUUUCCACAGCGUUCCUCUUGAACAGGGUGACACUUAGCUUUUUACUUGCAAGUGAUGAUUUUAUGCUAUUGUACGGCGAAGCUUUGCUCUUUGGUUAUGUUGCAGUUCCUUAUUUGUUCUCCAAGCAGAUGUGGCAGCUUCUCUAGUUCUUCAGUUCGGACUCCUUGUGCUGGGUUGAUUGUACGAGCUGCAUUCUUCUCUGCUUGUUUCUUCAGCACGGCGGGCAGGCACGAGGCAAAGGUGUUGGUCCUUAUUUCUUUCUUCAAUCUUUCCAAGUGCCCACCUCUUGCUUUCUUUCUCCUUGUCCCUAGCUGAAUUGUCUCCACAUGCUUCGAGGUAUCAUUUUCACUUCCCUUACUGUCCCCCAGGCAGAUGUGGUAGACGAAGAGAAAAGCAUAAAAUGAUGAAGAUGAGUACUCGAGAGCAAGGCUAGGUAAGCAAUCAGGAAGGGGUUCCAGGCAGUUGGCUCCAGAUUGGAAGAUUGAUACCAAAUGCUGGCUGAUUGCUCUCUUUCUCCUUGUCGGAAAACAAAGACAAGGAGAAGGACAUGGAGAAAGCAUGAUAUGAGAUACUCUUGCUUUCAACCUUUAUGAUAUGAAAUACUUUUGCUUUGAAUGGGUUGUUCGCAGGAGUAUCCCAAGGAAUGAGGAACACAGAGUGACUCGAGAGGAUUCUUUGGGAAUGCAUUUUCGGAGAUGAAGAGGUGUUGAGAGGGUGUGCUGAGAGAAUGUGCUUUUGCUGUGGAAGGCGAAGGUAGAAACUUAUAGGACUUCUCUUCACAACCGGAACUGUUCUCUCACUCAUUGUCGGCAGCCGGUGGAUGGAUGAAUAGUACAAAUUACGCGCUUUCUGACAAAGCUGCCCGUAAUUUUUGCAAAGCUGCCAGUUGCAUGUGACAAAUGCUGACUAGGCUGAGAGAGACAGAUGGUUGGAAUCGGCACUUCGACAGACUGCCCGUGAUUUUCGCAGAGCUGAGUUUGUGUGUGAUGGGUGACAACACGUCUGGACGAAUUGAUCUUGCGAAAUCCGGGGUUCGGCUCGUGGUUUCUGAGCAAGCCCAACUUUUAAGAAAUGAACGCCUCUUUUGAGAAAAGAAUCCGGCUUUUGAGAACGGAAACUCCUCUUUUGAGAAAAGAAUCCGGCUUUUGAGAAAGGUGCCCCGACUCUUCGAUUUGCGAAAGGACGCCUCUUCAAUUUCUGAGGAGCGCCUCUUUGAUUUCUUCUUUUUAUAGAGGCGUUAAUUUUGUUCCACAACACACUUGAGCUCCCUCUAGUAAACACUCCCAUCUUGCACUUGUUUAAUCUUGAUCAGUCCAACUCUCUCUUCUUUCUUCACCACCUCUGAAAAAUGUCUGGCCCUUCCGAUCGUCGUUUUGACUUGAACCGUGGUGAAGAGGCAGCUCCGCCUUCACCAGACAACAUAUGGCGCCCAUCUUUCAUAUCCCAACUGGUCCUCUUACUGUUGGGGAUUCGUGUGAUGAAAAAUGACAUGACCGCUGCGGUGGUGGCCCGAAACCUUGUCACUCCCAGAGAUAACAGACUGCUCGCAAGGCGGUCUGAUGAAUUGGCGGUCUAGGAGUCUCUGGCUCUCAGUGUGCAGUGUGCGGGUUCCGUAUCCAACAUGGCCCAACGCCUAUAUGCCCGAACCCGUCACGUUGAAUCCUUGGUGGCUGAAAUACAGAGUCUCAAGCAAGAGAUUAAAGGGCUCAAGCAUGAGAAUAAGGAAUUGCAUAAGCUCGCACACAGCUAUGCCACCAGCAUGAAGAGGAAGAUUAACCAGAUGCAGGACACCGACGGUCAAAUUUUACUUGAUCAUCGGAGGUUUGUGGGUUUGUUCCAACAACAUCUGCCUUCGUCUUCUGGAGCGGCACCGCGUAGUGAAGCUCCAACUGAUCAACCCUCUGCCGCCUCCUCCUUCUGUGGCCCCGACGACUCUGCUGAAGCCUCGCCUACUACUGAAGCACCACCCGACCAAUGAAUACUAUUAGUUUACAUCAUUGUAAAAUAUUUUACUUUUUUUUUUAAUUUUUUUUUUUAUCAUUAAUUUUAAAUUUUAUCUUUUUUUUUUUUUUUUUUUUUUUUUUAUAUAUGUAAAUUAAUGUAAAGAGACUUUGGUUAACCUUCCCCCACACUUAAACUAAAUAACACAAACUCACAGAAAUCAAACAAAUAACACAACUAACUAAACAAGACAAAAUGAAAGCAUUAAAGAUAAGGGUGUAAAAAUGCAAAUCUGAUUGGGUUAGCGAUUCCAAAGUCUCCCUUCGUUGAAUGCUUGGGUUGCCUCCCAAGAAGCGCUUGAUUUAACGUCUUUAGCCGGACGCAUCUUUCCUUUAAAUUUCCCUCGGCUCCAUUUGAACCUAAAAUCAAAGAAAGAAAAAUAAAUCAAAUAUCAAAAGUAAAAUACACAAACACCAAUAUAAACAUAAACAAAAACAAAAAUAAAAGGAUUAGCAAAGUUACUAAUCCCCGGCAACGGCGCCAAAAUUUGAUGUGAGAAUUUCUUGACACACAAAUUAAACCCUCUUUUUGACAAUUGUAGUAUGGAUGUAAGUAGGGUAUCGUUCUAGGCCGGGGAUUAGGAGGGAUUGCUAAUCUAUUCUAAAUUAAUUUAAAAAUAUUAAAUAAGACUCAAGGACACAAAACUAGGCUAAAAACUCUAAUAACUCGAAACACACUUAGGAUAACUCAAAAUAAUGAAAACAAUCAAAUUAGACACUAGGAACUGCAAUGGACGGAAAUUGAAUUAAAAGACUAACAACAAUGAAAACUAACUAAAUAAUAUAAUUUAAUAAUGGGGGGGGUUUUGGUUUUGACGAGAAGUAAAUUAAACGUAAAUAAAUUACAGAAUUGACAAAAAACAUGAAAUUAAGGUGAAAUGAUAAAUGACGGACUAGCUAGAGGGUUUCUCUCCACACAUGACACAUAUGCAACCUAAAUUGAUUUUUCAGUUGUUCUUUCAAUAAAUUGUAAAAUCUCAACGCCCCAAAUUAACCGUGAACAGCACUUUUUUAAUCUUCAAGUUUUCCUUAAGUUAUUGAAUUGGACGGGAAAACGCGCAUACAACAAUUCAAAACAUUCUUCAAAAGUCCCCUACGUGAAAAGCACAAUAGAGAUACAAUAAAAGAUCAUUAGACUUUGUGAAAACUAUAAGCAUUGACGAGGCAUUCGUAACUAUGAAAAGCAUGAUACUCUUGCCAAGAAUUCACUUAACACGAUUGUGGAUAACAACCUUCACUACUUGUGAAUAUAAGUUCAUAACGAUUAGGUGAAAUUCACUUAUAUUCUAGCAUCAAAUUCAUGCAUGUAAAUUAAGUAUGCAUCCUUAAUCGACAUACAAAAAUAAGUUAUCAAUCAAACAGUUAAGCAAAUUAAAUCACAACUCAGAAAUCACAACUGAAGGUAAAUCAAUUCAUAUUACAAAUAUAUUCAUGGCUUUGAAUUAACCUCUAGCCAAAAUAAAUUUAAUUACACAUUAUUAAAAAAGAAAUAAAAGAGAAGUUUGGAAAAAUUAAACCGAAAGAGGAUCUGCUGCGUUCGUGCCCAUGCUUGCCCUCUCCCCUCGCUGACUUGCUUUCUGUUUAUCACCUGGACUGCACUGCCUCACUUCUCUCACUACCGCUGCCCAAUGGCAGCCCUCGUGUUCUCUGUCCGUGCUCACAGCUGCCAAAUGGCAGCUGUUCCUUUUCAGCCUUAUUUCCUCGCCUCUCACUCCCGCGUCUUUUCUGCGCCUCCUGCGCUCUCUGCGAGCUUCUCUCCUUCCUGCGUCUCUGCGAGCUGCCCAAAGGGCAGCCCCUUUCUCCCGCUCCCAGACCCCCCUGUUUCUCU